rnacentral:rRNA from 1 species
AUACGGAGGGUGCAAGCGUUAUCCGGAUUCAUUGGGUUUAAAGGGUACGUAGGCGGAUAGAUAAGUUGGUGGUGAAAUCCCGAAGCUCAACUUCGGAACUGCCAUUAAAACUGUCUAUCUUGAAUUUGGUUGAAGUGGGCGGAAUAUGACAUGUAGCGGUGAAAUGCAUAGAUAUGUCAUGGAACACCGAUAGUGAAGACAGCUCACUAAGCCAAUAUUGACGCUGAGGUACGAAAGCAUGGGUAGCGAACAGGAUUAGAAACCCCAGUAGUCC